rnacentral:rRNA from 1 species
UACCAGCACCCCGAGUGGUCGGGACGAUUAUUGGGCCUAAAGCAUCCGUAGCCGGUUCUGCAAGUCCUCCGUUAAAUCCAACUGCUUAACAGAUGGGCCGCGGAGGAUACUACAGAGCUAGGAGGCAGGAGAGGCAAGCGGUACUCAGUGGGUAGGGGUAAAAUCCGUUGAUCCAUUGAAGACCACCAGUGGCGAAGGCGGCUUGCCAGAAUGCGCUCGACGGUGAGGGAUGAAAGCUGGGGGAGCAAAC